AGAAUGACAAAUAUUGCAUAUUCUCACUCAUUUGUGGGAGCUAAAAAGUCUGAUCUCAGUAAGGUAGAGAGUAGAAUGAUGGUUAACAGAGGCUGGGAAGGAGGCAGGAUGAAGAUAGAUAUUGGUUAAUGGGUGCACAUGUAGAGUUAUAUAGAAGCGAUAAGUUCUAGUGUUCAAUAGCACACAAGAGUGAUUAUACUUAGCAAUAAUUUAUUGCCUAUUUCAAAAUAUUCAGAAGAAAAGACUUAAAAUGUCCCCAACACAUACACACGAAAUAAAUGUUGGAGGUAGUGGAUAUCCUAAUUACCAUGAUUUGGCCAUUAUGCAUUGUAUGCAUGCGUCGAAACAUCACAUGAACCCCAUAAAUAUGUACAAUCAAUAUGGGUCAAUGAAGAGGUCAUUGAUGGUGACAAUAAUCACUUUGCUAGAGUUAAAACUGUACUAGUGAUCAGGCACCCAGUAAGGCCAAAUCCGUUUACUCUGGCCUUCACUUCAACCUUCGUGUCUCAGGGACAUGGCUGGCACUGCACAAGAUGUUACUGUCUAUAGAAUGGGAGGAGCAGAAAGCCUAUAUUUAUGAUUUUUAUAUAAUUGCAACAG
rnacentral:lncRNA from 1 species